rnacentral:rRNA from 1 species
GAUGAACGCUGGCGGCGUGCCUAAUACAUGCAAGUCGAGCGAACGGACGAGAAGCUUGCUUCUCUGAUGUUAGCGGCGGACGGGUGAGUAACACGUGGAUAACCUAUCUAUAAGACUGGGAUAACUUCGGGAAACCGGAGCUAAUACCGGAUAAUAUUUUGAACCGCAUGAUUCAAAAGUGAAAGACGGUCUUGCUGUCACUUAUAGAUGGAUCCGCGCUGCAUUAGCUAGUUGGUAAGGUAACGGCUUACCAAGGCAUCGAUGCAUAGCCGACCUGAGAGGGUGAUCGGCCACACUGGAACUGAGACACGGUCCAGACUCCUACGGGAGGCAGCAGUAGGGAAUCUUCCGCAAUGGGCGAAAGCCUGACGGAGCAACGCCGCGUGAGUGAUGAAGGUCUUCGGAUCGUAAAACUCUGUUAUUAGGGAAGAACAUAUGUGUAAGUAACUGUGCACAUCUUGACGGUACCUAAUCAGAAAGCCACGGCUAACUACGUG